rnacentral:rRNA from 1 species
AUUGAACGCUGGCGGCAGGCUUAACACAUGCAAGUCGAGCGGUAGCACAAGAGAGCUUGCUCUCUGGGUGACGAGCGGCGGACGGGUGAGUAAUGUCUGGGAAACUGCCUGAUGGAGGGGGAUAACUACUGGAAACGGUAGCUAAUACCGCAUAACGUCGCAAGACCAAAGAGGGGGACCUUCGGGCCUCUUGCCAUCAGAUGUGCCCAGAUGGGAUUAGCUAGUAGGUGGGGUAAUGGCUCACCUAGGCGACGAUCCCUAGCUGGUCUGAGAGGAUGACCAGCCACACUGGAACUGAGACACGGUCCAGACUCCUACGGGAGGCAGCAGUGGGGAAUAUUGCACAAUGGGCGCAAGCCUGAUGCAGCCAUGCCGCGUGUGUGAAGAAGGCCUUCGGGUUGUAAAGCACUUUCAGCGAGGAGGAAGGUGGUGAACUUAAUACGUUCAUCAAUUGACGUUACUCGCAGAAGAAGCACCGGCUAACUCCGUGCCAGCAGCCGCGGUAAUACGGAGGGGUGCAGCGUUAAUCGGAAAUACUGGGCGGUAAGCGCACGCAGGCGGUUUGUUAGUCAGAUGUGAAAUCCCCGGGCUCAACCUGGGAACUGCAUUUGAAACUGGCAAGCUAGAGUCUCGUAGAGGGGGGUAGAAUUCCAGGUGUAGCGGUGAAAUGCGUAGAGAUCUGGAGGAAUACCGGUGGCGAAGGCGGCCCCCUGGACGAAGACUGACGCUCAGGUGCGAAAGCGUGGGGAGCAAACAGGAUUAGAUACCCUGGUAGUCCACGCUGUAAACGAUGUCGAUUUGGAGGUUGUGCCCUUGAGGCGUGGCUUCCGGAGCUAACGCGUUAAAUCGACCGCCUGGGGAGUACGGCCGCAAGGUUAAAACUCAAAUGAAUUGACGGGGGCCCGCACAAGCGGUGGAGCAUGUGGUUUAAUUCGAUGCAACGCGAAGAACCUUACCUACUCUUGACAUCCAGAGAACUUUCCAGAGAUGGAUUGGUGCCUUCGGGAACUCUGAGACAGGUGCUGCAUGGCUGUCGUCAGCUCGUGUUGUGAAAUGUUGGGUUAAGUCCCGCAACGAGCGCAACCCUUAUCCUUUGUUGCCAGCGGUUCGGCCGGGAACUCAAAGGAGACUGCCAGUGAUAAACUGGAGGAAGGUGGGGAUGACGUCAAGUCAUCAUGGCCCUUACGAGUAGGGCUACACACGUGCUACAAUGGCAUAUACAAAGAGAAGCGACCUCGCGAGAGCAAGCGGACCUCAUAAAGUAUGUCGUAGUCCGGAUUGGAGUCUGCAACUCGACUCCAUGAAGUCGGAAUCGCUAGUAAUCGUAGAUCAGAAUGCUACGGUGAAUACGUUCCCGGGCCU